GACAGAGGUGCCGAGCGUUAGGCGGAAUCACUGGGCUUAAAGCGUGUGUAGGCGGAUUCCUAAGUACCUUGUGAAAUCCCAUGGCUCAACCAUGGAACUGCUUGGUAUACUGGGUGUCUUGAGCCAACUAGGGGCUACCGGAACAAAUGGUGGAGCGGUGAAAUGCGUAGAUAUCAUUUGGAACGCCAAUGGUGAAAACAGGUAGCUGGGGUUGUGCUGACGCUGAGACACGAAAGCCAGGGGAGCGAACAGG
rnacentral:rRNA from 1 species